rnacentral:lncRNA from 1 species
AGUCGCUCUGUGCCUCUCGCCUGCGCAGUCGUGGCCGACCAGCCUGUUGCCCAGAGUGACACGCAUGCCAAGGAAUCGUGGAGGCCCACGUGCGGGAGUUUUUUCCCGCCGGGUGGAGGCCGGAAGCGGAGAGAUUGAAAGCACAAAUGGCUAUUUUUUUUUUUUUUGAGACGGAGUUUCGUUCUUGUUGCUCAGGCUGGAGUGGGCAACAGUGACGCAAUACCGGCUCACUGCAACCUCUGCCUCCCGGAUUCAAGCGAUUCUCCUGCCUCAGCCUCCCAAGUAGCUGGGAUUAACAGGCAUGCGCCAUCACGCCCAGCUAAUUUUUUUGUAUUUAGUAGAGACGAGGUUUCACCAUGUUGGUCAGGCUGGUUUCGAACUCCUGUCCUCAGGUGAUCCACCCUCCUAGGCCUCCCAAAGUGUUGAGAUCACAGGCAUGAGCCACUGCGCCUGGCCUUUUUUUUUUUUUCUUGAAGGCUUUGGAGUUAGGCCCACAUCACAAAUUUUAGCGUUUUGUCUUUGUUCCAUUCGGCUGUUAGCAAACUUGCAAAUCCCUAGACCUGAGUGAUUAAUGUGAUGGGGUGGGAAGGAGUGUAACUGAUAGUAAAGACACAGGUGGCCUUGUAAACUCAUAUGAUUAGCAACUAUGUUAAGGUUUGCUGUGUUUUGUUUGUUGUUGUUUUAUUUAAAGACACUGUGACGAAUUCAACCACAGAAUUUUUAACAUCAAAACUGAAUAGGAUUUGAUACAUGAGUGUUGUAGUCAGACAAAAUCUCCAAUCCAGACCC